AUGCAAAUCACCUGAAGAUCUUAUUAAAAUACAGAUUAGAAUUUAUACUUCUGAGAAUUGUAUUUCUAAUAAGCCUCCAGGUAUUGCUUAU
rnacentral:pre_miRNA from 1 species